CUGGCUCAGGAUGAACGCUAGCUACAGGCUUAACACAUGCAAGUCGAGGGGUAGCAGGGUAGCAAUACCGCUGACGACCGGCGCACGGGUGAGUAACACGUAUCCAACCUUCCCAUAACUCAGGGAUAGCCUUUCGAAAGAAAGAUUAAUACCUGAUAGUACUUUUUCAAGGCAUCUUGAAAAAGUUAAAGAUUUAUUGGUUAUGGAUGGGGAUGCGUUCCAUUAGAUAGUUGGUGAGGUAACGGCUCACCAAGUCUUCGAUGGAUAGGGGUUCUGAGAGGAAGGUCCCCCACAUUGGUACUGAGACACGGACCAAACUCCUACGGGAGGCAGCAGUGAGGAAUAUUGGUCAAUGGGCGAGAGCCUGAACCAGCCAAGUAGCGUGAAGGAAUGAAGGUCCUAUGGAUUGUAAACUUCUUUUAUAGUAGAAUAAAGUGAGCCACGUGUGGUUUUUUGUAUGUAUACUAUGAAUAAGGAUCGGCUAACUCCGUGCCAGCAGCUGC
rnacentral:rRNA from 1 species